UACGUAGGGUGCGAGCGUUGUCCGGAAUUAUUGGGCGUAAAGAGCUCGUAGGCGGCGGGUCACGUCGGGUGUGAAAGCCCGGGGCUUAACUCCGGGUCUGCAUUCGAUACGGGUCUGCUGGGGUCCGGCAGGGGAGACUGGAAUUCCUGGUGUAGCGGUGAAAUGCGCAGAUAUCAGGAGGAAACACCGAUGGCAAAGGCGGGUCUCUGGGCCGGUACCGACGCUAAGGAGCGAAAGCGUGGGGAGCGAACCGG
rnacentral:rRNA from 1 species